GACGAACGCUGGCGGCGUGCUUAACACAUGCAAGUCGAACGGAAAGGCCCUGCUUUUGUGGGGUGCUCGAGUGGCGAACGGGUGAGUAACACGUGAGUAACCUGCCCUUGACUUUGGGAUAACUUCAGGAAACUGGGGCUAAUACCGGAUAGGAGCUCCUGCUGCAUGGUGAGGGUUGGAAAGUUUCGGCGGUUGGGGAUGGACUCGCGGCUUAUCAGCUUGUUGGUGGGGGAGUGGCUUACCAAGGCUUUGACGGGUAGGCGGCCUGAGAGGGUGACCGGCCACAUUGGGACUGAGAGACGGACCAGACUCCUACGGGAGGCAGAAGUGGGGAAUAUUGCACAAUGGGCGGAAGCCUGAUGCAGCAACGCCGCGUGCGGGAUGACGGCCUUCGGGUUGUAAACCGCUUUCGCCUGUGACGAAGCGUGAGUGACGGUAAUGGGUAAAGAAGCACCGGCUAACUACGUG
rnacentral:rRNA from 1 species